GACAGAGGAUGCAAGCGUUAUCCGGAAUGAUUGGGCGUAAAGCGUCUGUAGGUGGCUUUUUAAGUCCACCGUUAAAUCCCAGGGCUCAACCCUGGACAAGCGGUGGAAACUACCAAGCUAGAGUACGGUAGAGGCAGAGGGAAUUUCCGGUGGAGCGGUGAAAUGCGUUGAGAUCGGGAAGAACACCAACAGGCGAAAGCACUCUGCUGGGCCGUCACUGACACUCAGAGACGAAAGCUAGGGGAGCGAAUGGG
rnacentral:rRNA from 1 species